AAGGCCACCCUGAGCUACAUGAAAUAGAUCCAUUCUAAAAGAGAAACAGAGCUCACACAAAGGUGAUCUCAGCACUUGGGAUCCCACACCUUUAAUCCCAGGAGGAGACAUGAGCUCAAUGCAGUCUGAGUGGCAGUGCAGUCGGGAGCAGUCUGAGAUUCAGUGGAUCUUCAGUCUGAGCAUUAGUAGAGAAGGGACCAAUAGCCCGGACUUUCACAUUCCUUACCUGCCUCUGGAGACAGGCCUCCUGGCCACAAGAAAGGAAUUUCUCCUUUGAUCUCAGCCUUGGGAUCUUCUAAGAACCCCAGCCCAUGUGACGCUGCUGCCCACAGUUAAGAAAGGGUCUUCUCUCUUCAACCUAAUCUACAAUCAAUCAUUCAUAGCUUGUCUCCUAGGUCCUGUCGAGUUGACAACAUUAAGUAUCACAACCCCAGACCAGAAGGUGUCCUGUCAAGUUUCAGCCAUUUAUAAACACACUGUGACUCCCAAAGUCAAGUUGUCAUCCAGCACACUGGACCUGACUCACAAGGGCCAAGCACACGUCCUGGGAUGGACACCCAAUCCCUCGCUUCCUUCGUCCCUUUGGUGUCCCUGAUGUCUCAGGUCCUGCUGUCCUGCUGCCUGUGCCCACAGGGUCCCUAUUUCUACACCUAUCCAUUUUGGAUAAUAGUGGGUUUCCCCCUACCUCCCUGUGUAUCAUCAGUUUACAAGAUGAAUUCAUUGUUUCUAACAUCAAAACUGGGUAGCAUCUCAGAGCAUAAUGAACUUAUUUUAAAAAAAAAACAACAGGUAACAAAAUUAUCCACAGGAAAUAAUGAGCCGAACAAGAAACUGAGAAUUAAAGAGCCUGGUCCCUCGAUCAAGGUCUGCUGUACACACCAGGAGUUGAUCUGUGUGUGCAGGUGCUCCUGAGUCGAGCCUGGGGUACACAGUUACUUCAGCAUUACAAAUCCUACUUUCUUCACUGCUAAUAUGAGAAAAAUAGUAGUGCCUACUGAAUAGGAUUAUUGUGAGGGUUAAAUUAAGUCUAAAGUCCUUAGUGUCCAAUACAGUAUAAAGAUAGUGGGCUUGGAGAGGUGGCUUAGCAGUCGGGAGCACUUACUGUUCUUCCAGAAGACGCAAGUUUUAUUCCCAACAUCCAUGUCAACUGGCCUACAGCCUCCUAUAAUUAACUCCAGCCCUGAGGGAUCAAAAAGUCCUCUUCUGGCCUCUGUGGGCACCCAUACAAAUAUGUGGGUGGGAAACAUUCAUAGGGACAUAACACCCAUAUAUGUGGGAAAUAUGUUGGUUUUUUUCUACAAAGGUAGUAAGCCUAACUGACAAAAGAAACUGCCUUGCUGAAUUACUCUGGUUUUGUUCACCAGUG